UAUCCUUAGACACCAUUGCGAUGGAUCACUUUCAACACUACAAAACGUUAGGGCAAAUAAAUUUUCUCCCUUUUUCGUCUCGUUCCCUUCUUCCGCCGUUCGAGAGGGCCAACAUCGCCUCAUCCUUCUAUCGGUGACAAGCUACUCCGGCGCCGGCGUUUAGGAAAUCCGGUUUGAAAGAAGAUUGGCUUACGGGUUCAUUUCUAUGAUUGUAAAGGCUAUUAUUAUCUGGGUGGUCUCCAUCGCCGGUGCUCCAAUCUCUCCCUUUUUAUUCAAUGCUUUCUUAAAAAAAACUUCUUUUAAUCUUGAGAGCUGGUGGGGAUCAGUUGCUGCAAAAAAUUGGCCUGAUGAAUAACUUGCUCUCGGGAGCUUUUCAAUGAAAUUGCUUACUCAGUUUGGUGCAUUUUUGGAUCUGGUGGCUAAUAAGCUUCUGGUGAUGGUGGAAUACCAGAAGUCAUGGCUGAUCCCCAAGGAAGUGGCCGCGUGUCAACGAAGGCGUGCUGUGUGAAUCCACGAUAACCAGAUUUGAGUUUAUUCCCUAUGUUGAUACAAUUUAGACAUUAAGUACCUCUAUAACAAUAUGUGCAAGGUUGGCCUCACUUGAUUCCUUUGCUGUAGACAUAUUUACAAAAUGAGCUAAACGAGAUUCCCCAUGAAGGGCAGACUCCGGCUGUUCGGGAGACUCUAUACCGACGGGCUCUUGGGGGAAAAGCAAGAAGCGCUCAAAGGUUGACAGUGCUACGAGUUCAGGUCACCCCUCAAUGAAGCAACUAGUUUAAUAGAUAUUGUAGCAUUCCAGCAAGGGUGGGAAAAAAUGCAUAAUGGAAUUGCAGAGUUGAUGACAACAAUGACUGAGUUCAAAAAUAUCAAGGCUGAUGUGUAUCCAUUCAUGCACGAAAACUCUAUAGCAGUUACUGGCCCAUUUGAAGUAGUCAUAAUAUCCGUACUUUGCAUAAUUGUAUCCUAUGUGCUUUGGAUGGCUAAGAAAUUCACUAUGAUCUGCUUAUACUUGAUAGGCCACAACUCGUAUUGAUACGGUCUCUGAGCUUCUCAGACCUGUUUCCGAAUCACCUAUGACGGUCGGUACCCGUGUGCUUAUAUUAUCUUGUACCAGAUAAAAGAAAUUUUUUGCUAAGGGACUUGUGCUCUGCCUCCCGUGCCUGGUGACACAUUUUUCCUUGUCAAGGUCUUCAUUACAUUCGCCUCAGUCCCGGACACAUCACUUAUUUUUUCGACAAUUGCUGGGGCGACUACCAUUCGCGACGUUGUCGGUGAAGAUCCUAUUGAGUGGAACUACAAGGAUGUUCAGAUAUACUUUAAUACCUUUCAUUUAUUUAAUUCCAAAACUUAAAAGAAAUAUUACUUAAACUAAACCUCCUUUUGUUGGUAAUUGCAGCUCAUGCGUCACCCCUGAAGCAUAUCAACCGAUUCCUUAAUGUUUCGCCCCUGGUUGCCUUAUGGAUUGGAUGUCGUAGAUGUGUUUGGAUGGUAGGUUGUUACAGCUAUGUGAAAUACCUAUGGAAUAGAUGCAUAGACAUUUGGAGUUAUCUUUUGUGCUGUGAGAAUUUUUGCUAUGGAUUGAUGGAUUUCCCCACUUGCUUAUUACUAGGUUGGAUGUUUAAAAUGCUUGCGUUUUGUGGAACAUAAUGUCGAAGUGAAAAUGUUGCUAGGCUUGUUUGAUGGGUUACUUAAUUUUGUUGUUUGGUGGUGGAAAUCGACUAGUAAAUAUUGUUAUGUUAAUAUCUUAUGUUGGGAUUCCUUUAUAGUGUUUAUUGUUUGC